UUAACAUAACCGGUCUCUUGGAUGUUGUUUUUGAAAAUAUGAGAAAUUUGAUUCACCCGCAUAUAUUGAGGCAGCCAUAAUUAAGCCGAUUAAGUACCAAACCCUAGAACAUACUUUUCAUUUUCUCACUAUAGUCCUCCGCCACUUUGCACUCUCAACUCAUUUCAUUUCAUCUUUUCUUUUUAUCUCUUCUCCCUCCUCUCACCAUCUCAAUUUGUUUUCCUCUUGCUUGAUCAUUUUUUCUGGUUUCUAGGGUGAGUCUCACACAUAAAAUUUCAUCCUUUACUUCUUUCUCAAUCUCAAGAAGUUAUCUACCCUCUAUCAUUUCAAAUUUUCAAGAUCUAUUACAAGGUACCGAUCUUUCAAGUUUCAAGUUUGAAUAGAAGAAAUCUGUAAUUGAAGAUCUGGGUAGUUUAUAGUCGUCAUUUCCAAAAUUUCAUUUUGAUUUAUGUAUUGAAAUCUGUAAUUACUAUGUACGUAAUUUUUGAGGUGUAUGAAAUGCAAGAAUAUUUUUUUUUUAA